GGAUGUGAGGGCGAUCUGGCUGCGACAUCUGUCACCCCAUUGAUCGCCAGGGUUGAUUCGGCUAAUCUGGCUGGCUAGGCGGGUGUCCCCUUCCUCCCUCACCGCUCCAUGUGCGUCCCUCCCGAAGCUGCGCGCUCGGUCGAAGAGGACGGCCUUCCCCGAAUAGAGACGGACCAGUCUUCGGUCGAGGGUAUACGAGUAGCUGCGCUCCCCUGCUAGAACCUCCAAACAAGCUCUCAAGGUCCAAAUAGACAUGAUGGGCCUAGACCUCAAAUCCCUCUCUCCAUUCUUACUGGUCAUCUCUAUCAGGAACAAUAAUAAAAUAGACCCCUUUG
ensembl:misc_RNA 7SK 7SK RNA